UACGUAGGGUGCGAGCGUUAAUCGGAAUUACUGGGCGUAAAGCGUGCGCAGGCGGUUCGUGAUGUCUGGUGUGAAAGCCCCGGGCUUAACCUGGGAAUUGCAUUGGAAACUAGCGGGCUGGAGUGUGGCAGAGGGGGGUGGAAUUCCACGUGUAGCAGUGAAAUGCGUAGAGAUGUGGAGGAACACCUGCGGCGAAGGCGGGUUGCUGGGCUGAUACUGACGCUGAGGCGCGAAAGCCAGGGGAGCGAACGGG
rnacentral:rRNA from 1 species